GAUGAACGCUGGCGGCGUGCCUAAUACAUGCAAGUCGAGCGAACAGACGAGGAGCUUGCUCCUCUGACGUUAGCGGCGGACGGGUGUGUAACACGUGGAUAACCUACCUAUAAGACUGGGAUAACUUCGGGAAACCGGAGCUAAUACCGGAUAAUAUAUUGAACCGCAUGGUUCAAUAGUGAAAGACGGUUUUGCUGUCACUUAUAGAUGGAUCCGCGCCGCAUUAGCUAGUUGGUAAGGUAACGGCUUACCAAGGCAACGAUGCGUAGCCGACCUGAGAGGGUGAUCGGCCACACGGGAACUGAGACACGCUCCAGACUCCUACGGGAGGCAGCAGUAGGGAAUCUUCCGCGAUGGGCGAAAGGCUGACGGAGCAACGCCGCGGGAGGGAUGAAGGUCUUCGGAUCGUAAAACUCUGUUAGUAGGGAGGAACAAAUGUGUAAGUAACUAUGCACGUCUUGACGGUACCUAAUCAGAAAGCCACGGCUAACUACGUG
rnacentral:rRNA from 1 species